rnacentral:rRNA from 1 species
GAUGAACGCUGGCGGCGUGCCUAAUACAUGCAAGUCGAGCGAACAGACGAGGAGCUUGCUCCUCUGACGUUAGCGGCGGACGGGUGAGUAACACGUGGAUAACCUACCUAUAAGACUGGGAUAACUUCGGGAAACCGGAGCUAAUACCGGAGAAUAUAUUGAACCGCAUGGUUCAAUAGUGAAAGACGGUUUUGCUGGCACGUAUAGAUGGAUCCGCGCCGCAUUGGCUGGUUGGUAAGGUAACGGCUUACCAAGGCGACGAUGCGUAGCCGACCUGAGAGGGUGGUCGCCCACACUGGAGCUGAGACACGGUCCAGGCUCCUACGGGAGGCAGCAGUAGGGAAUGUUCCGCAAUGGGCGAAAGCCUGACGGAGCAACCCCGCGUGAGUGAUGAAGGUCUUCGGAUCGUAAAACUCUGUUAUUAGGGAAGAACAAAUGUGUAAGUAACUAUGCACGUCUUGACGGUACCUAAUCAGAAAGCCACGGCUAACUACGUG